rnacentral:rRNA from 1 species
AGCGAACGCUGGCGGCAGGCCUAACACAUGCAAGUCGAACGGACCUUUCGGGGUUAGUGGCGGACGGGUGAGUAACACGUGGGAACGUGCCUUUAGGUUCGGAAUAGCUCCUGGAAACAGGUGGUAAUGCCGAAUGUGCCCUUAGGGGGAAAGAUUUAUCGCCUUUAGAGCGGCCCGCGUCUGAUUAGCUAGUUGGUGAGGUAAUGGCUCACCAAGGCUACGAUCAGUAGCUGGUCUGAGAGGAUGACCAGCCACAUUGGGACUGAGACACGGCCCAAACUCCUACGGGAGGCAGCAGUGGGGAAUCUUGCGCAAUGGGCGAAAGCUUGACGCAGCCAUGCCGCGUGGAUGAUGAAGGUCUUAGGAUUGUAAAAUCCUUUCACCGGUGAAGAUAAUGACUGUAGCCGGAGAAGAAGCCCCGGCUAACUUCGUGCCAGCAGCCGCCGUAA